ensembl:lncRNA
CCCACAGUGACCCCAUAGAGCCCCAUAGUGACCCCAUAGAGCUCCAUAGUGACCCCAUAGAGCCCCAUAGGGACCCCAAAGAGCUCCAUAAUGACCCCAUAACUGCCCCAUAGCGACCCCAUAGGGUUCCAUAGAGACCCUAUAACAGCCCCAUAGAGACCUCAUUGGUGCCCAUAGGGACCCCAUAGAGCCCCAUAGGGACCCCAGAGAGUUCUGUAAUGACCCCAUAGAGCCCGAGAGUGACCCCAUAGAGCUCCACGGUGACCCCAUAGAACCCCACAGUGUCCCCAUAGAGCCCCAUAGGGACCCCAUAGAGCCCCAUAGUGACCCCAUAGAGCUCCAUAAUGACCCAAUCACAGCCGCAUAGUGACCCCGUAGAGCCCCAUAGGGACCCCAUAGAGCCCCAUAGUGACCCCGUAGAGCCCCAUAGGGACCCCAUAACAGCCCCAUAGCGACCCCAUAGAGCUCAAAAGGGACCCCAUAUACCUCCAUAGUAACCCCAUAGAGCUCCACGGUGACCCCAUAACAGCCCCAUAGUGACCCCAUAGAGCCCAGAGUGACCCCAUAGAGCCCCACAAUGACCCCAUAGAGCCCCAUAGGGGACUCCAUAGAGCCACAUAGUGACCCCAUAGAGGCCCAUAAUGACCCCAUUAGGGCCCAUAGGGACCCCAUAGAGCCCCAUAGUGACCCCAUAGAGCCCCACAGUGACCCAAUAGAGCCACACAGUGACCCCAUAGAGCCCCAUAGUGACACCAGAACUGCCCCAUAGUGACCCCAUAGAGUUCCAUAGAGACCCCAUUACAGCCCCAUAGUGACCCCAUAGAGCCCCACAGUGACCCCAUAACUGCCCCAUAAUGACCCCAUUAGGGCCCAUAGGGACCCCAUAGAGCCCCAUUGUGACCUCAUUGGGGCCCAUAGUGACCCAAUAGAGCCACACAGUGACCCCAUAGAGCCCCAUAGUGAACAAAUAGAGCCCCAUGGUGACCCCAUAGAGUUCCAUAGAGACCCCAUAACAGUCCCAUAAUGACCUCAUUGGGGCCCAUAGGGACCCCAUCGAGCCCCAUAGUGGCACCAUAGAGCCCCACAGUGACCCCUUAGAGCCCCACAGGGACCCCAGAGAGCUCCACAGUGACCCCAUAACAGCCCCAUAGUGACCUCAUUGGGGCCCAUAGGGACCCCGUAGAGCCCCAUAGGGACCCAAUAACAGCCCUACAGUGACCCCAUAGAGCCCUAUAGUGAUCCCAUCGAGCCCCACAGUGACCCCAUAGAGCCCCAUAGUGACCCCAUAGAGCUCCAUAGAGACGCUAUAACAGCCCCAUAGGGACCCCAUAGAGCUCCUUAGUGACCCCAUAGAGCCCCACAGUGUCCCCAUAGAGUCCCAUAGUGACCCCAUAACUUCCCCACAGUGACCCCAUAGAGCCCCAUAGGGACCCCAGAGAGCUCCGUAAUGACCCCAUAGAGCUCCACAGUGACCCCAUAACUGCCCCAUAAUGACCCCAUUAGGGCCCAUAGGGACCCCAUAGAGCCCCAUUGUGACCCCAUAGAGCCCCAUAGGGACCCCAUAGAGCACCCUAGGGACCCCAUAACAGCCCUAUAGCGACCCCAUUGAGCUCCACAAUGACCCCAUAAAGCCCCACAGUGACCCCAUAGAGCCCCAUAGGGACCCCAAAGAGCUCCAUAAUGACCCCAUAACUGCCCCAUAGCGACCCCAUAGGGUUCCAUAGAGACCCUAUAACAGCCCCAUAGAGACCUCAUUGGUGCCCAUAGGGACCCCAUAGAGCCCCAUAGGGACCCCAGAGAGUUCUGUAAUGACCCCAUAGAGCCCGAGAGUGACCCCAUAGAGCUCCACGGUGACCCCAUAGAACCCCACAGUGUCCCCAUAGAGCCCCAUAGGGACCCCAUAGAGCCCCAUAGUGACCCCAUAGAGCUCCAUAAUGACCCAAUCACAGCCGCAUAGUGACCCCGUAGAGCCCCAUAGGGACCCCAUAGAGCCCCAUAGUGACCCCGUAGAGCCCCAUAGGGACCCCAUAACAGCCCCAUAGCGACCCCAUAGAGCUCAAAAGGGACCCCAUAUACCUCCAUAGUAACCCCAUAGAGCUCCACGGUGACCCCAUAACAGCCCCAUAGUGACCCCAUAGAGCCCCAGAGUGACCCCAUAGAGCCCCACAAUGACCCCAUAGAGCCCCAUAGGGACUCCAUAGAGCCACAUAGUGACCCCAUAGAGGCCCAUAAUGACCCCAUUAGGGCCCAUAGGGACCCCAUAGAGCCCCAUAGUGACCCCAUAGAGCCCCACAGUGACCCAAUAGAGCCACACAGUGACCCCAUAGAGCCCCAUAGUGACACCAGAACUGCCCCAUAGUGACCCCAUAGAGUUCCAUAGAGACCCCAUUACAGCCCCAUAGUGACCCCAUAGAGCCCCACAGUGACCCCAUAACUGCCCCAUAAUGACCCCAUUAGGGCCCAUAGGGACCCCAUAGAGCCCCAUUGUGACCUCAUUGGGGCCCAUAGUGACCCAAUAGAGCCACACAGUGACCCCAUAGAGCCCCAUAGUGAAC